rnacentral:misc_RNA from 1 species
GCAAACUUGGUCAUUUAGAGGAAGUAAAAGUCGUAACAAGGUUUCCGUAGGUGAACCUGCGGAAGGAUCAUUACUGUUAGGGCGUCAGCCCCGACUGAGAUUAACCAUGAUUUCGAGCACCUUUUCGUUUCCUCGGCGGGUUCGCCCGCCGGCGGACAACUGAAACUCUUUGUAAUAGCAGUGUAUUCUGAGAAAAACAAAUAGUUUAAAACUUUCAACAACGGAUCUCUUGGUUCUGGCAUCGAUGAAGAACGCAGC